CAUACUUAAUGAGUGCUUUCAUUCAUAAUUGAUUCAGCGGCCCAUCGAAUUCACGCAAGUAUGUAGCAAUGUAAUUACCCACACGAGAUAUAUAUCAGGAAUUAGUAUCCUUAGACUCAAUCUGAAUCCGGUCAAAAGUUUUACAACCUUCUAACGGAUAUGAGCUCCUCUUCCAGCAUCACAUCUGACUGAGUAAACUUAUUUCUUGAAAACUUCUUCUUUUAGAAAACGGUAGCCUCUAAGUCCGUAACAUUGGACGAUUUCAAAAAUGUCUGCUGGAUUCAUUGAGCUCAAGCGGUAUGGAGACCGAUCUACGCAACUCAGUAUUUCAUCUCAUGAGAUCCAUUCAUAAUUCACAAGACGUUUGUAGUUACAAAGAUAAGGAACCUCUGGAGUACUUAAAGAAGGCUCAGAUGCUUUGGGAGAAACGAAUACACAAGUCCCUGAACUCUAUGAGUGCUGACAUCAACAGUCUCUCAUUGGCACGGUUCCGGCUCGCGUCUGACAGAGAUGAGAUACUUGAAAAAUGGAAGGAGCUCAGCACCUACGAGAUAGGAUCAACGAUUGGAACAUGGGAAUUCACACACCUUAGUUUGAAAGUGAAGAGUUUUGCAGAGCUGUUAUUGCAUUCAAUCAUGCGCCUGCAGCUCAGGAGUAUCUGAAGAAGGGAGCUCCCCUGUGCAUAAGAGCCAGGAUUUGGACACAACUCCUAGGAUCAACCGUUACGCAGAGGUACCGCAGAAUGAAUGUUUUGCUGUUUCUGUAUCUGAAAUACUCGUAUUUUGUAAUGCCUGUUUCUCGCUUUUUAUAUCUCUAGGUAU
rnacentral:lncRNA from 1 species